rnacentral:tRNA from 1 species
AGCAGCGUGGCCUAGCAGAUAAAGCCCACGUCUGAGAGUCGUGAGACCUGGGUUUUUAUCCCAGCUCUGUCA